rnacentral:lncRNA from 1 species
GGAAAUGUUAAGCCAGGACAGGUGCAUGGGAAGCCAGUAAAUGACCGAGAUGCAGGUUGUUGUGGGGAAAGGGAAAUGGGGAGGGGACAAGGUGGGUGCCACAUUCACCAGCAGUUACUCCCCUUGACCUAACUUCCCUUCCCUUCCCCAGGCCUCAUCAGUCAAGUCCUCUCUGACCUCCAGCUGCACUUCAGAGGCUGUGGCCUCCCCACUAACUUCUCUUGUCUGGUACAAGGGAAUCUAUCCUCCCUGAUAUUCUGCACACUAAGCACACGACACUGGCAAGGUACUCAGCCUCUCCAAGUAGGUCUUCCCGUGUAAAAUAGGGAUUGGAGGGAUCUCACCCAGGGCCCUCAGGAGGCUUGACAGAUUCGAGCCUGCCACAUAGGCACAGGGGCAGCCUUGAGGCUACCGAUCUAGCCUCACCUCUUCCAUCCCUCCUCUACUCUCCGUCUCCAUCUCCAUUGAGUAAAUGGUGCUGUCCCCUCUUCAACCCAUUCCCAGGCCUGCCACCAGAGCCAGGACACCACCACGCUCCAUGUGUCCUGGAUCUGACCACAAGAAUGGGCUCAAGCCUGGACAUGGGACCUAAAUCCAGCAGUGAUUGCAACUGCUCCAAAGUUCUGCUGAACAGUAAGGAAGGAGGUACUUACUCUGCUGAGGUCAUUAGCUCCAAGUCAGAAGAAAGCGGAGCCAAGGGCUGGAGCAGGAUAUGGAGCCUCAAUGAUGUCUUUGCAGCUCCUGGACUCAACCAUGUCAGAAGCUACUUAGCCUCUGGUAUUUUUAGGAAUGAAAACAUCAGCCCAAAAUUUCUUUUUUUUCCUUUGGUACUGGGGAUUGAACACAGGAGUGCUUAAUCAUUGAGCCACAUCCCCAUCUUUUUUUUUAUUUAUUUAUUUAUUUUUUUUUUAAAUUUUUUUUUUUUUUAGAGAGAGGGUCUUGCUGAGUUGCUGAGGCUGACUUUGAACUCAUGAUCCUCUUGCCUCAGCCUCCCAGGCUGCUGGGGUUACAGGCGAAUGCCACUGAGCUCAGCCCCAACCAGUUCAAGUUGAGUUUGUUACUUAAAAGUGAAAUGGCCCUGAUAAUACAGCGGAUUCUCUAGAAGGGACAUUGCUGCUCUUGCAGUUCAUGUCGUUAUAAACACAGAGGAAGAGGCAGCCAUGGCGAUGCGUAGGCUGGUUCCUCCAGGGGCCUCUCUACUCUUCACAGAUGAGGCCCCAGCCAUCAGCUCCCUGAGGGCAGGGGAUUUUCCUCAGAUGGAUGCCGAUACAUCCUAGGUACGUGGUGUCUGGUACACAGCAGGUGAUUAAUAAAUAUGAACAACUGAAGUAGGCACCAAGGUCCAUUGUUUCUCCCAGGGUGCCCUGCCUUCCAGUCCCCACGUAGGGGGACACAUUUUGCCCUGACUGCUUAUCUUUGUCCUCCAAGUCCAAUGGAGUGGCUGCCAGGAGACUGUCUUGGCAGACAGAUCUCCUAUCUUCACAGUUGUUUUCUUAGAAAGUUUUCUAGAGCUUCCUUCAUCCUUUUAAUUGUUUCUAAUUCAAUUAAAAAAAAUUGCUAUCAAUGUGUCCCUUGUGUGAGGUACCAGAGAGAUGCAAACAUGAAUCAUGUUUUGCCUGCCUUCGGGGAGCUUCUGUUCUGCUGGGGGUGUACAGUCACGAACUUGACUCGAUGGCAUUGUUUUAGGCAUGGGGCCAUUUUCUGGUAUCCUCCUACCGACCAGGCAGUGAAGGAGCUCUAUGCUUAAGACCAAAAUAUACUCCUAGGUCAUAAUGAAUGCAGCUCAUCUGUGGCCACAGGAAAGUUGACCGUGUAGGUGAGUGGCCCUGGGACUCUAAAUGGGAAGUGCCCACCAUGUGCCCAGCUCUGUACUCAGCUCCCCCAGUUUCAUGCCAACUUGGAAGCAUUGUCCCAUCUCACAGGACGAGAAACAGUCUCAGAGAAAUGAAGUUUCCCUGAGCCAACAGGGCGUGUGAGUGCAUCAUUGGGCUGUAGCAGGGAGCCCCCCCUGGGGACCCCAGAAUUGAUAAGGCUUCUCAGCCAGUAGUGGGGUCAUGGUCUGUUGGCUCUUGCAAAGGCCAGUGAAUGUCCUCGUGGCUCCUCCCACCCUCUCCUUGGAUGACAGCUGCUGGAUUCCUUGCCUGCCUCUCUCCUCCCAGCUCCUGGUCAGAGUUGCAAUCAUCCCCACGUCAUCUGCACCUUGCACUUUGUCCCAAGGACUGGCCCGGGGUAGAUCUCAGUGCCAUGAGCAUCUGGUCUCAUCCCUUAGCAUCCAUUCUCUCCUCCUCCCAGUAGCUUCCCCCUGCCUUGUAAAAUUGCCUUUUUAUCAUCCUAUCUGUUCCUAAAAUAUUUGAACCAUCCUGGCAACCAGGUGAGGCCACUUGUCUGGUGUACCUGGACCAGUCCAGGGACUGAACAUGUGAUCCAAUUAGAAUCCUUUUCUGGAACAUUCUGAAUUUUCCCCAUGGAUCCUUAACUAUAAGGAUUUGACCCCAGAGCU